CCCUUCGUCAACUCACCCGAAGGGUGGGCGUGAACUGUUGUACCUCACCGGGGCCGCAAAGGACGGAGUUUUCCAAGUCACGUGUUUGUUUGCGUGCUCUAUAACUGGCUGUGACUCCUAAGAAACAAGUUUAGGGUAUUUUGAUAAAUAUUUCUAAAAGUGAUGCUAUUCUCCGAGGGAAAAGGAUAACCGUAGCCUUUGAAGUGUCUGUGGAGGCUUUAUCCCACGCGAGUGAGGAAGGCCCAAGGGCUCAGCAACUGAGUAGCUUACGGUUUUAUGGAGCACUGAAAGGCCACAACCUGGCCAAACCGGUUAGAAAGGUGUUCACUGGCAAGAGGAGGAGAAAGAUAAAAGUUUUCAUAAUACAAGGUAUUGAAAAACAAGGUUACAACAACCUUACGGCUCUAAUUACCUUAAUUUCCGAUUCAUGAGUCCUGAUAGCAUUUCAUUUUGUGAAAUACAGCUCCCACAACCUGAUUGGCUUAUAGGCACAAAGGAGCUCCAAAAAACAUAGUAUCAUAAAUAAGAAACAUUGGCUUGUGGAAGAUGAACACACUUGGGGAGGAUAAAUUUCCAUUUCCUUAUAGAUUCACUGGAAGUGCUACAGUGUAAGCACAGAAAUUAUUAGACUCCAAUCAUUAAAGCCAUCUAUUGUUGGGGAUCAAGUCCCCAGAGGGUUGGACAUGAAGAACCUCAAGUAUUAUGCUGUGUUCGAAGAAGGAUAUAAAUACCAAAACAUAACUAAAAACUAAGAUACAUCAUAGUUGAACAGAUUCUAAUUAAAGAUAUUUACA